rnacentral:tRNA from 1 species
GAGUAGUUCAGUGGUAGAGCCCCAGAUUGUGGAUCUGGUAGUCGCGGGUUCAAAUCCCGUCUC